rnacentral:rRNA from 1 species
GACGAACGCUGGCGGCGUGCUUAACACAUGCAAGUCGAGCGGUAAGGCCCUUUCGGGGGUACACGAGCGGCGAACGGGUGAGUAACACGUGGGUGACCUGCCCUCAGCCCUGGGAUAAGCCUGGGAAACCGGGUCUAAUACCGGAUAUGACUCCAUGACGCAUGUCGUGGGGUGGAAAGCCUUGUGCGGCUGAGGAUGGGCCCGCGGCCUAUCAGCUUGUUGGUGGGGUGAUGGCCACCAAGGCGACGACGGGUAGCCGGCCUGAGAGGGCGACCGGCCACACUGGGACUGAGACACGGCCCAGACUCCUACGGGAGGCAGCAGGUGGGGAAUCUUGCGCAAUGGGCGAAAGCCUGACGCAGCGACGCCGCGUGAGGGAUGACGGCCU